rnacentral:rRNA from 1 species
GAUGAACGCUGGCGGCGUGCCUAAUACAUGCAAGUCGAGCGAAUGGAUUAAGAGCUUGCUCUUAUGAAGUUAGCGGCGGACGGGUGAGUAACACGUGGGUAACCUGCCCAUAAGACUGGGAUAACUCCGGGAAACCGGGGCUAAUACCGGAUAACAUUUUGAACCGCAUGGUUCGAAAUUGAAAGGCGGCUUCGGCUGUCACUUAUGGAUGGACCCGCGUCGCAUUAACUAGUUGGUGAGGUAACGGCUCACCAAGGCAACGAUGCGUAGCCGACCUGGGAGGGUGAUCGGCCACACUGGGACUGAGACACGGCCCAGAAUCCUACGGGAGGCAGCAGUAGGGAAUCUUCCGCAAUGGACGAAAGUCUGACGGAGCAACGCCGCGUGAGUGAUGAAGGCUUUCGGGUCGUAAAACUCUGUUGUUAGGGAAGAACAAGUGCUAGUUGAAUAAGCUGGCACCUUGACGGUACCUAACCAGAAAGCCACGGCUAACUACGUGCCAGCCGCCGCCGUAA